AUUAAACCCAGAGGUGCUUAACCACUGAGCCACAUCCCUAGUCCUUUUUAUUUUCUAUUUUUUUAAAAAUAUAUAUAUUAGUUGUAAAGGGGCACAACAGCUUUAUUUUGUUUAUUUAGGUUUUUUGUUUUUUUUUUAAAUGUGAUGCUGGGGAUGGAACCCAGUGCCUCACACAUGCUAUGCAAGUGCUGUACCAUUGAGCCACAACCCCAGCCUUUUAUUUUCUACUUUGACACAGGGUGUCACUAAAUUGCUGAGGCUGGCCUUGAACUUGGAAACUUUCUGCUUUAAGCUCCCAAACCACUGGAAUUAUAGGCAUGUGCCAUUGUGCCCAGCUCCAGAUUUUAUUUCUACAGAUACAAAAUAGACCAUCUCCCAUCCAAAGACAACUAUUUUCCAAAAGAAUGUGAAGCAAAACACCCAAUGUGACCUUAAAUAUUAGAGUGUACCACUGGGCUUUAUAGCACACACCUAUAAUCCCAGCAUUUUGGGAGGCUAAGGCAGGAGAGCUGAAGUUUGAGGCAGCCUCUGCAACUUACCAAGUCCCUCUCUCAAAAUAAAAAAAAAUAAAAAUUAAAAGAACUGAGGAUGUAGCCCCGUGGUAAAGCAUUCUUGGAUUCAAUCCCCAGUUCAAGAACAUAAAAAAAUAAAAUAAAAUAAAAUUAGGGCUGGGACUGUAGCUCAGUGGCAGAGCAUAAAAAUAAACAAAAUAAAGGCAUUCUGUCUAUCUACAACUACAGAAAUUUUUUUAAAAAUACAAUGUAUCAUUUAUAGCACCUUAGGUAGGUAGUUCUAACUAACGCACAGAAAUCUGAGGUAUUCCUUAUUUUUGUUUUUGUUUUUGUUUCUUUUCUUGGUGCUGGAGAUUGAACACAGCAUCUUACAUUUAUUAAGCAUGUUGUCUACCACUGAGCUACAUCCCCAGUCCUUCUAUUCCUUGCUUUUAUAUCUGCUGUCUGCUUAUGUAUAUAACUAUACUUUUUUUUGGUGUGUGUGUGUGUGUGUGUGUGGUGCUGGGGAUUGAACCCAGGGCCUUGUUUAUGUGAGGCAAGCACUCUACCAACUGAGCUAUAUCCCCAGCCCAUAUGUAUAUAACUAAAUAAAAAUUUCAUGAAAACUUCAACAUAAAAAAAAAAAGAAAGAAAGAAAACUUCACUGUGAAUCUUCAGCUUUCCACAAUACCCUGCAAAGGAUUCUUUGAUGUCCCUGUCCCUGGUUCCCUGUCCUCACUAGUUUGUGUAUUCAAUAGUAGUAAUAAUGCACAUCCCACUGUUUUUGUUUUUGUUUUGUUUUCCUUUCUUUCUUUCCAGUUUAGAGUUGUCAGAUUUGGCAAAGAGGAAUGCAAGAAACUCUGGGCUGGAAAUGUAGUUCAGAAGUAGAGGGUUGCCAGGCAACCAGGUGAGGCCCUGGGUUCAAUCCACAGCACUGAAAAACUAAACUUUUUUUUUUUAUUCAUCAUUUAUCUAAAAUUCACAUUUAAUUGAGCAUCUUACAUUUUACUUAGCAAUCUUAUUAGUCAUUUCCAUGCAAAGUUGUAGAGUAUAUUUGGGAGCCCCCAGUUUGCCAGAUAUGUCUGCUGUAGCUUCAGCCAGGAUUCCCAUCACAUAUGUGCUAAGUAUCAUGGAACAGAGAAUUCUCAUUAUGGUGGGUUUGACUAAAGGCACAAAGGCACAGGAUUAGCUUUUUUUUUUUUCUUCCCCCUGUUCUGGGGAUCAAACCCAGGGUCUUAUACAUGGUAGGCACUCUACACUGAGCUACAUCCGCAGCCCCAGGAAUACCUUUGAUGCUGAUAUCCUCCUCUGUAGAUCCCCCUCAUCCAUAGGAAGCAAGGAUUUCAGAUCUUCUCUGAACUUUCCAGUCUGACAGUAAGCAGCUAUGGAAAAGAUAUCCUUGAAAUAUCCUCAAGUUAGCUUAGGCUAGAAAGAUAAUUUAGCAAUUUCCCAGAAAUGCCUCUAUUUCCCCAGAAAAAUAUUGCUUUGAAAUGCCAAAUAAGAGUGUUAGAAAGUCACUAGACUGGAAAGCUGACCUGGGGACAAUUUUUAGCACUUAAGAGGCAGUUCUCUGUUUAUGAGACCUACAUUUGUGUUUAAAGAACAUUUAUAAAUUAAAACAGAUAGUAAAGAGAUAGCUAUUUCUAGGAAAACUUUUUUGGUUUUGUUUUGUUUUUUGGUAAUGGUGAUUGAACCCAGCAUGGUUUACCACUGAGCUACAUCCUUAGUCAUUAUUUUUUUUAAUUUUUUAUUUUGAGACAGGGUCUUGUUGAGUCACUGAGGGUCUCACUAUGUUGCUUGAGACUGACUUGAACUUGAAAUCCUCCUCCCCUAGACUUCCAAGAGUAAAAUUUUUUUGUUUGUUUGUUUGUUUUUAAUUUAUUUUUUAGUUGUAAUUGGACACAAUACCUUUAUUUUAUUUUUUUAUUUUUAUGUGCUGCUGAGGAUCGAACCCAAGGCUUCGCACGUGCUAGGUGAGCGCUCUACUGCUGAGCCACAACCCCAGCCCCAAGAGUAAAAGGUUUUUUUUUUUUUAUUUUUUUCUAAAUAUGUUAGUGACUUUUAUAUUGUGUGAAAUUAAGCAAAGGCUGGGAGUUGUGGCUCAGUGAUAGAGCACUUGCCUAGCAUAUGUAAGGCACUGGUUUGGAUUCUCAGCAGCACAUAAAAUAAAUAAGUUAAGUAAAAUAAAGGUAUCAUGUCCAUCUACAAUUAAAAAGUGUAUAAAUAAAUAAAGAAAAUGAUGACUGAGAAAAAAAGUAGCUGAGUAUUUGUUAACAACAUAAUAUUUUAUGGGGCACUUAUGUUUAUAGUACCAAUAAACUACAAUAUACUGUAUUAGUGUAUCUAAGUGACUUGAUUAUUCUUGUGGGAUAAAAGUUCAUAAGAAAACUGCAUUAGAAAUCAAUAGAUAAACAUUUGCAAAGCUGCUAUUGCUAUUGUACCAGUAUUAAAAUAUGCCCUAUGUCACAUCUUUUAGUAAUUUUUAUGACAGAUUUUAUAUUGUAACUAUUUGAGUUUUAUAUAAAUGAUAUGGCUUCAUUAAACUUUGCUUAUCAUAUGCUUCCAAUGUUCAUUUUGACACUGAAUGGUAGAGAAUGUAAACAACCAAGGUGCAUUUAGUUAUAUUUUUAAAUAAAAAUCAAUAAAAACCUUUGGUAUUUUUCUUUUUA
rnacentral:lncRNA from 1 species